AGAUGAUUAGCUCAAUUGGCAGAGCGGUUCGUUUACACCGAAUAGGUUAGCGGUUCAAAUCCGUUAUCAUCUA
rnacentral:tRNA from 1 species